UACGUAGGAGGCAAGCGUUGUCCGGAAUUACUGGGCGUAAAGCGCGUGUAGGUGGUGGGACAAGUCUGCUGUGAAAGCGCCUGGCUUAACCGGGCGAGGUCGGCGGAAACUGUCCGACUCGAGGACGGUAGAGGGGGGUGGAAUUCCCGGUGUAGUGGUGAAAUGCGUAGAGAUCGGAAAGAACACCAACGGCGAAAGCACUCUGCUGGGCCGACACUGACACUGAGAGACGAAAGCUAGGGGAGCGAAUGGG
rnacentral:rRNA from 1 species